CGUACACUCCUACGGGAGGCAGCAGUGAGGAAUAUUGGACAAUGGGUGGAAGCCUGAUCCAGCCAUCCCGCGUGCAGGAAGACGGCCCUAUGGGUUGUAAACUGCUUUUAUCUGGGGAUAAACCUACUUACGUGUAAGUAGCUGAAGGUACCAGAAGAAUAAGCACCGGCUAACUCCGUGCCAGCAGCCGCGGUAAUACGGAGGGUGCAAGCGUUAUCCGGAUUUAUUGGGUUUAAAGGGUCCGUAGGCGGACUGAUAAGUCAGUGGUGAAAUCCGACAGCUUAACUGUCGAACUGCCAUUGAUACUGUUAGUCUUGAGUAAGGUUGAAGUGGCUGGAAUAAGUAGUGUAGCGGUGAAAUGCAUAGAUAUUACUUAGAACACCAAUUGCGAAGGCAGGUCACUAAGUCUUAACUGACGCUGAUGGACGAAAGCGUGGGGAGCGAACAGGAUUAGAAACCCUUGUAGUCCCAUGAU
rnacentral:rRNA from 1 species